rnacentral:tRNA from 1 species
GGAGCGGUAGUUCAGCUGGUUAGAAUACCUGC